UGCUUUCAGCUUGCAGCUUUGCCACCGAGGAGGGAGGAUGAAGCGGUGAGGUUCUUGCAGGGAACGCUGAUGUCUGCAAAGCUUGCAGCGAUGUUGAGCACAGGAUGCCAAGAAUAGGCAGCUGUGAAAAGGUCAUUAAUGAAUCUCAGCAGAAACAUGCUGCCAUAUUCUCUUCUUUUUGCAGUGAAUUAGGUCCAGCAUACUGACACCGUGUUUCUUCUUAAUGAGUGCUUUAUUUGAAGCUGCACUUGGGAGUAGAAAGGAAGUUGGAAGAAAUACCAAUCUCUCAGCUGCUUACAUUGGAAGAGGCUCAACAGCCAUGAAUUUAGGGGCUUAUGCUUCCAGUCCUCCAGAUAUUUAUCUGUUUCUUGUCCAGAAGAUUGAGGAGAAAAAGAAUACCUUAAAGAUCUUGCAUCAGGGAACCCAGGGGUUUGGUUGCUGCAUGUCUGCACUGAUGGAACACAUCCUCUUGAGGAGCUCCACUGGCAUUACCUGUAAGUGCUACAAAGCUGUAAACUUCAGGAUGGACUUGAUUUUCUCAAGUUGAAUGGGAGAUCUUUGUUUUAUUGUCGGAAAAAAGCAGAUAAACAAUGUCCAAUUCUGGCAAAGCAUCAACAGAGGGCUCUGCAGCUUGACUAGACAUCACGUGUGCAACACAGCUUCCGUGCCCUAACUGAGAACCCAUGCUCCUGCAGGGAGAUGGGUGCUGGCUUUUUAAGUUGAGCUAGAAAUACUGGAAAGAUAUUGUUCCUUUCUGAACAAAAGGGAAAAAAAGGGCUGUGUGAUGUCCCUCUCUCAGGUUCCUCCUGCCCGAUGGGGACAGUGAUGGUGUGAGCACUGCAGGAAGUGGAGCGGGGCAGCAGCUGUGUGUGCUUCUUUACAAAGAAAUGCUAAAAUAGAAAAUCA
rnacentral:lncRNA from 1 species